GGAAUCCAUUCCCCCACGUUCCUCUCAGAGAUUACCAAUAGCCAUCCAACUGUUCAUCCUUAUCGGACCUAUUAGAUCUACAACCAUUCAAUUAUACUACCAAGUCGGCCAUUACCAGCCAUGCACAUUGGCCAGAGAAUCCACUACCAUCACCACCACUCAGACAGAUCAUUGUCUUCAACGAUCCCACGUACGUAAACACAUAUAUCAUUACCUACUGGCUCUACCACAUUCCUAAAUAAGUCAACAUGCACCAACAGUAGAGAUAACAUACUAUCCUACCCACAACAAAUGGUGCCCACUUUCGGUCCUAGAUUCCUA